AGCGAACGCUGGCGGCAGGCCUAACACAUGCAAGUCGAACGAACCUUUCGGGGUUAGUGGCGGACGGGUGAGUAACACGUGGGAACGUGCCUUUAGGUUCGGAAUAACUCAGGGAAACUUGUGCUAAUACCGAAUGUGCCCUUCGGGGGAAAGAUUAAUCGCCUUUAGAGCGGCCCGCGUCUGAUUCGCUAGUUGGUUGAGGUAAUGGCUCACCAAGGCGACGAUCAGUAGCUGGUCUGUGAGCAUGAUCAGCCACAUUGGGACUGAGACACGGCCCAAACUCGUACGGGAGGCAGCAGUGGGGAAUCUUGCGCAAUGGGCGAAAGCCUGACGCAGCCAUGCCGCGUGAAUGAUGAAGGUCUUAGGAUUGUAAAAUUCUUUCUCCGGGGACGAUAAUGACGGUACCCGGAGAAGAAGCCCCGGCUAACUUCGUG
rnacentral:rRNA from 1 species